rnacentral:rRNA from 1 species
AUUGAACGCUGGCGGCAUGCCUUACACACGCAAGUCGAACGGCAGCGGGGGAGAAGCUUGCUUUUCCUGCCGGCGAGUGGCGAACGGGUGAGUAAUACAUCGGAACGUGCCCUGUAGUGGGGAUAACUAGUCGAAAGAUUAGCUAAUACCGCAUACGACCUGAGGGUGAAAGUGGGGGACCGCAAGGCCUCACGCUAUAGGAGCGGCCGAUGUCUGAUUAGCUAGUUGGUGGGGUAAAGGCCUACCAAGGCGACGAUCAGUAGCUGGUCUGAGAGGACGAUCAGCCAAACUGGGACUGAGACACGGCCCAGACUCCUACGGGAGGCAGCAGUAGGGAAUUUUGGACAAUGGGCGAAAGCCUGAUCCAGCAAUGCCGCGUGUGUGAAGAAGGCCUUCGGGUUGUAAAGCACUUUUGUCCGGAAAGAAAUGGCUCUGGUUAAUACCUGGGGUCGAUGACGGUACCGGAAGAAUAAGGACCGGCUAACUACGUGCCAGCCGCCGCGGUAA